GGGAACUACGAGCACGAGCUUAAAACCCAAAGGACUUGGCGGUGCUUUAGACCCCCCUAGAGGAGCCUGUUCUAGAACCGAUGACCCCCGUUCAACCUCACCUUUUCUUGUUCAUCCCGCCUAUAUACCGCCGUCGUCAGCAUACCCUGUGAAGGGACCAUAGUAAGCCAAACUGGUAAAACCCAAAACGUCAGGUCGAGGUGUAGCAUAUGAAGAGGGAAGAAAUGGGCUACAUUUCCUGCCCCAGGAAAGACGAAUUAUGCCAUGAAACAUCAUAUGAAGGAGGAUUUAGCAGUAAGCAGAAACAGAGAAUUAUGCUGAACCUGGCCCUGAAGCGCGCACACACCGCCCGUCACUCUCCCCAAGUCCAACCCACCCAUACUUAAAACACCACCAGGAUAAAGGGGAGGCAAGUCGUAACAUGGUAAGUGUACCGGAAAGUGCACUUGGAAAAAC
rnacentral:rRNA from 1 species